rnacentral:lncRNA from 1 species
CUAAACGUGGAUGACAUAGAAUUCCUAAAAAGCAAGAAUUAAAUUCUGAAUUAGAUCUAUUUUUAUAGACUUUAAAGCAGGGUUUCCCAACUCUGGCAUUACUGACAAUUGGAACUUGAUCACUGGUUGUCGUGGGGUCUGUCUUGUGCAUUUUAGGGUGUUGAGCCGCAUGUCUGGCCAGAAGCACUCUCCCCACACUUAGGACAAACAAAACGGUCUCCUGGAAGGCAAAAUGGUCCUCAGCUGAAAACCACUGCUUUAGGGCACUCAUGUCAUCAGCAUGAGAUUAAUGACAUGAAGAAUAGCAGCAAGCAGUUACCAAGUGCUAGGAAGGAAUUUGUGCUUUAGAUACAUUCUCUCAGGGUCCUCACCAUAGCUCUGUUCUGGGGGUAUCAUCCAUUUAGAAGAUGAGGAAAUCUGGACUUAGAGAAGUAAAGGUUUGCCCCAUUUCAUACAGAUGCAGUCGAAAACCGGGACCCUCACUGUUGAACAAGGCUGUUGAAUUAAAAUUUUUAAUGAAGUGAUGAAACCGGACCAUUUCAUUUCCCCAGUAAUGAACUCAUCUUUAUGAAUGUUAAGAUAAGAAUUCAUGUUGUUCCCACAUUAAAAGGAAAAUGCACCAUAGCUAGUUUAUGGGAUGUGCUGGUUUUUCUGAAGCUGAGACUGGUCUCUUCCUCAAGGAAGCACAAAACCCCACCAGAUUUAGGCAUUCAUUUGGGAUUGUAAGCACACAACAGAAUUAAGAACAUCUAGACGAUGAGAUUUUGAAAAACCAGCCUCUACCUCAGAGCAAAGCCUGUCCAAGGAAGGGACAUGACCUUUGUCCUUGGAAAAACCCACAGAGCACUCCUAGGUAGGUACAUUCCCACCCUGCCAAGUUGUUUAUCUACAGGAGAGAUCUGUUGCGCCAGGUAUCCCUGACUCAGUCAGGCUAGGUGGGGAUCCAUAGCAGCCCCCUAGCAGCCACCAAUCAGCAUGAGACAGGGAAAUACCUGGGAUGCCAGAUGACCCUCCCAGCAGUUUAUGGUGGUUGAUAACAAGUUGGGAAACCAUGUAGUUCAGCAUGUACACCCCUCUUGGCUUAAACCAAUCAGUUCAAAUGAAUACCCCUUUUGUACUGACCAAUCACCCCUCCCCAACUUGUUCCCGCCAGUGAAUGUGCUAAUCAUGUUUUAGAGUUGUUAUUUGAUUUUCCCGCGGUGUGUGAUGAUUUGCUAUGAUGUAUGUGAAGUCCCUGCCUUCUCCAAAGAAUGUAUAAAACUGCUACAAACUCUGGGCUCGGGGCCUCUCAGCAUCACCAGUUGCUGUGUGUGCGCGCAGAGGACCGAGCUAGCUCGCAAUAAACACCUCUUUGCUGCUUACAUCGAUCUUGGUCUCUGGUGGUCUUUGGGGGUCCCGAAUUCGAGCAUAACAUAUGGGGGCUCGUCCGGGAUCCCCAUAAUAAGCCUACCCAGACACCCCGAUCGAGCGGUGAUGAAAACCCGGCCGGUAAGUAAAGGCAUUGCCGAUGUGUAAGUUUCUGUACUCUGGAUGCAUGCAGUAAUGGUUUUGUGUGGUGAGGUCGGCAAAAGGUCCAGGUGGACGCACCAAAGGGCAGCCGACAGGGUUUGUGGGAGAUGUCCCCAGCCCCUUUCUGGGUUCUGAGUGGAUUGCCUGUAGUAAAGUAUUUUGUGAAGUAUUUGGUAAAGUAUUUUGUAGCUGACGGAUCCGCGGUCCUCCUGAGCCUUUAGUUUCUGGGUAGCAAUCCACGACGCGCUGCGAAUUCUGUGGCCGUGCUGCAAAUUUUGUGUUAUGUGUGUUUGUUUCUAUUGUCCUGUCUGUCUCCACCCCAACACCCUGGCAAGAGAACUAAUCUCCCAGUCUGGGGUCUUCAGACCCAAUCUGAGGGGGAUGCUCCCCCAAUCUGUUUGUCUGAAGGGAAGGCCCCAGUUGGCUUGGGGCCAGCACCCACUCUCGUUUUUUUGACAAUCUGAAGAGGGAAUCUAUGUCUUUGUGUGUCUUUCGUCUGUGUCUGUGUUAAGUGUGAUGGCGUUGUUUUACUUUGGAGCAAUGCAGAGUCCCAAAUUCCAAUCUGCCUUAGAUGUGUGGAGGUAACUUUAGCUAAAUUUUAGCCUAAAUUGUCCUUAGUAUGCUUCUCCUAUAAGGGACCAAAAGUCAAUAGAACCGCCAGCUUUUCUGUUCUCACCUUUUACAACCCUUUUAGCUGUGUUUUAAAGAACUUUGAUAAACUUUACUCCCCUUUGUUAAGCGAGAUUAGGGAAGCAAUGUUUUCUUUUCUUCCCGUAGUUGGCUUGAGUGCACCCACUGCAGAGGGAAAUGCCUGCUGGGGAUCUAAGAACUUUGAUAUCUCGCUUUAACUUUUCUCAAAACCCUGUCCUCAUUAUUAAAUUGGCAUUAAUUGGCUUUGGGGAUGGGAACCGAACUUUCAGUCAUAAAUUUUGGCACCCCAGAGGGAACUUUAGAGGAGUCCCCACUCUGCCUUCUUGGGGAAGCCUAGCACUGGAGACAACUGCAAGCAGAGGAUUAACUUUUUGGGAGCUGACUACUGAAAAGUUAGGAGAUAUGGAGAGUGCCUGGUGCCUGGGGUCAGACCAAACCAGAGGAACUAAUCCUGUAAGUAAAAGGGGGGACUGAGAGACUCCCAGCAGCUGCCGAAGCGAUUUUGCUUUAGGGAACUCCCUCUUCCUUACCUGCACUUUAAGGAUUACUCCACCUCUGUCUACUUAAAAAAGGGACAAUUAAUGCAGUAAUGUGUUCAUAUUAUAGAUUGUUUCUUGGGGAUGAUCUUGGCUGAAUGUAUAUCUAAAAGAUGAUUUUUUAUUGUAACAAUCUGGUGUCUGAAUGGGUUUUUAAAGCAUUGCACAAUCUUGCAGUUGAAAAUUGGGUUUAGGCAAUUGUUUAGUUUGAGAUUUCAGAUAGUUCAUGCUAGAAAACUUAAAUACUUAGGAUAAAAAAUUAAAGAACUAUACUUCCAAGUUGGCAAGUAACUCUCAAUCAUUUAGUUUUACUUUUUCAUCAAUUUUUGAACUGGG